UACGUAGGGGGCGAGCGUUGUCCGGAGUUACUGGGCGUAAAGCGCACGCAGGCGGUCUGCUAAGUUUGGAGUGACAGUUGGUGGCUUAACUGCCAAAGUGCUUCGAAAACUGACAGACUUGAGGGCUUCAGAGGGACACGGAAUUCCGGGUGGAGUGGUGAAAUGCGUAGAGAUCCGGAGGAACACCAAAGGCGAAGGCAGGUCUCUGGGCCACUACUGACGCUGAGAAGCGAAAGCAUGGGGAGCGAACAGG
rnacentral:rRNA from 1 species